rnacentral:rRNA from 1 species
UACGUAGGGGGCAAGCGUUGUCCGGAUUUAUUGGGCGUAAAGCGCGCGCAGGCGGCAUACUAAGUCUGGUGUGAAAGCCCACGGCUCAACCGUGGAGGGCCAUUGGAAACUGGUAAGCUUGAGUGCAGAAGAGGAGAGCGGAAUUCCUGGUGUAGCGGUGAAAUGCGUAGAUAUCAGGAGGAACACCCGUGGCGAAGGCGGCUCACUGGACCACAACUGACGCUGAGGCGCGAAAGCUAGGGGAGCAAACAGG